rnacentral:rRNA from 1 species
UACGGGGGGGGGCUAGCGUUGUUCGGAAUUACUGGGCGUAAAGGGCGCGUAGGCGGUCUGCUAAGUUGGAUGUGAAAACUCUGGGCUUAACCCAGAGCCUGCAUUCAAUACUGACAGGCUAGAGUUCUGGAGGGGAUAGCGGAAUUCCUGGUGUAGCGGUGAAAUGCGCAGAUAUCAGGAGGAACACCAGCGGCGAAGGCGGCGCUCUGGGCCGGAACUGACGCUGAGGCACGAAAGCGUGGGGAGCAAACAGG